UACGUAGGGUGCAAGCGUUGUCCGGAAUUAUUGGGCGUAAAGAGCUUGUAGGCGGUUUGUCGCGUCUGCUGUGAAAUUUCGGGGCUCAACCCCGAACUUGCAGUGGGUACGGGCAGACUAGAGUGUGGUAGGGGAGACUGGAAUUCCUGGUGUAGCGGUGAAAUGCGCAGAUAUCAGGAGGAAUACCGGUGGCGAAGGCGGGUCUCUGGGCCGAUACUGACGCUGAGGAGCGAAAGCGUGGGGAGCGAACAGG
rnacentral:rRNA from 1 species